rnacentral:rRNA from 1 species
CGGAUGAGUAACACGUGGGUAACCUACCUAUAAGACUGGGACAACUUGGGAAACCGGAGCUAAUACCGGAUAAGAUAUCGAACCGCAUGGUUCGAUAGUGAAAGAUGGUUUUGCUAUCACUUAUAGAUGGACCCGCGCCGUAUUAGCUAGUUGGUGAGGUAACGGCUCACCAAGGCAACGAUACGUAGCCGACCUGAGAGGGUGAUCGGCCACACUGGAACUGAGACACGGUCCAGACUCCUACGGGAGGCAGCAGAU